GGGUUAAGUCCCGCAACGAGCGCAACCCCUGUGUUCUGUUGCUAUCUGAACGAGAGUUCGGAGCACUCUGGACAGACUGCCUCGCUUAAACGAGGAGGAAGGUGGGGAUGACGUCAAGUCAGUAUGGCCCUUACGGCCAGGGCUGCACACGUACUACAAUGCUCGGCACAAAGGGAUGCGAGACCGCGAGGUGGAGCAAAUCUCCAAAAACCGAGCCCAGUUCAGAUUGAAGUCUGCAACUCGACUUCAUGAAGCUGGAAUCGCUAGUAAUGGCGCAUCAGCUACGGCGCCGUGAAUACGUUCCCAGGCCUUGUACACACCGCCCGUCACAUCAUGAAAGCCGCUUGUACCCGAAGUCGCCGUGCCAACCGCAAGGAGGCAGGUGCCGAAGGUAUGGGUGGUGAUUGGGAUGAAGUCGUAACAAGGUAAG
rnacentral:rRNA from 1 species